UACAGAGACCUCAAGCGUUACUCGGAUUCACUGGGCGUAAAGGGAGCGCAGGCGGUCAAAUGUGUCAGGUGUGAAAGCCCGAGGCUCAACUUCGGAUGUGCGCCUGAAACUGUUUGACUUGAGAUUCGGAGGGGUAAGCGGAAUUUCUGGUGUAGCGGUGAAAUGCAUAGAUAUCAGAAGGAACACCAACGGCGAAGGCAGCUUACUGGACGAAAUCUGACGCUCAGGCUCGAAAGUAUGGGGAGCAAAAAGG
rnacentral:rRNA from 1 species